UAGGGUCUGAUCGCUGCCUGAGACACCAUAUCGGUACUCCUCAGAGUUGAGAAUAGACGCCUUGAUGGCUCCUCUGGCAGUUCUUGAUGACCAUGGAUGAGCUAAUGGCUGUGGUCUCAAUGGUGGCUUCUUGAGCUAAUUUCAAAUGGUCCAGUGCCUGAGACUUCACACUGAAGUAGAGCAUUUGUUCCUCUCACUAUGUCUGCAGGCUCAAGAGUUUUGAUGAAAGAAGGAGGUUCUACAAAAGCAUGAAAGCAUUGUGUGGACCUUCUUAUUGAUAGCGGACUGCACAGGCUCUAAUUCUUUAAUGAAAUGUGGCUUAUCAAUGAUGAUCAACUCUGCUUGGCAGAUGUCUGCUCCAAACUUGUUGGAAGCCUUACAAGAAUAAACUCCUCUAUCUUGAAUGGUGGAGUCUCGCUAUGUUGCCCAGGCUGGAGAGCAGUGGUGCAAUCCUGGCUUACUGCAACCUCUGCCUCCUGGCUUCAAGCAAUUCUCCUGCCUCAGCCUCCCAAGUAGCUGGGACUACAGGCUCUGCAGUACCUACCUACCAUGUUACUGUCUUGGUUGUUGGUCUCUCCAGUUGGUAAUACAAGCAUUUCCCACACAUGUACAGAAAGCAAAAAGGACAACAAU
rnacentral:lncRNA from 10 species